GGCUGCUCUCUCUGGAGGUCAAGGAGGCAUCUCUCAGCUCUUGGAUUGUGUUCUGCAAGCUCUGAUUAUCCUUCUCUAGCUUCAGGAUGCGACUUGAAGCACAUUCAUUCAGCUCAAACACAAAGGACUUCCUAGUAUCAGCAAGAUCGGUGCUUUUAGACAGUUGUUCCAGUUCCCAGCCUAAGUGCGCAGAUUCGUUCAUGCUCUGUUUCUGUGCAAUCUCCAAGACCAUAUUCUCCUCCAGAAGCUCUUCAAUUCUCUUUUUGUCUGUGUCUCGAUCCAGCUCCACAUCAUGAAGUUUGGAUUUCAACUGCAAAUUCUCCUUCUCUAUCUCAUGCAACUUAUCAACACGAGCUCUCGCCAUCGUUAGCUGUUCUUCUAACAUUGCCUUUGUUUCAAUUAAUAUGAUGUUAUCUUCUCUUAACUCCUCCAUGCGAGCUUUGUAAAAAUCCACAUCAUGAAGUUUCUCUUUGCACCGAACAAGUUCCAUCUCAAGUCUCUCCACACGGUUUGCCUUUUCUCUCAGGGAGUCCAGCUCAUCUCUGUAUGCUCGGGCAGAACGAGCAUCUGAGGCCAGGUGGAUAUUCUCUUGUUUUAUUUUUUGCAGCUCUAGGGUGAGCUGCUCAACUUCAUGUUUAGAAUCCACAAGCUGCUCAGAUU
rnacentral:lncRNA from 1 species